AAAAAGAUAAGCUAAUUAAGCUACUGGGUUCAUACCCCAUUUAUGAAAGUUUGAAUCUUUCUCUUUUUA
rnacentral:tRNA from 1 species